rnacentral:rRNA from 1 species
CAGCCGCCACGGUAAUACGAAGGGGGCUAGCGUUGUUCGGAUUUACUGGGCGUAAAGGGUGCGUAGGCGGAUUGUUAAGUCAGGGGUGAAAUCCCAAGGCUCAACCUUGGAACUGCCUUUGAUACUGGCGAUCUUGAGUCUGGGAGAGGUGAGUGGAACUGCGAGUGUAGAGGUGAAAUUCGUAGAUAUUCGCAAGAACACCAGUGGCGAAGGCGGCUCACUGGCCCGGAACUGACGCUGAGGCACGACAGCGUGGGGAGCAAACAGGAUUAGAUACCCGUGUAGUCCCUGUCUCUUAUAC